CCAUUGAUAAAAUGAAGUAAUAGCAGUUGCACAUUUUUAUGAUAUGUAAACAUGAAUAAACUGAUUUGAGAACAGCAAAGACAACGUUGGCAGUAUUGACGGCAAAAUAGGCUGCAGAAUGUUUCCUUUUGUCUUGAC